rnacentral:rRNA from 1 species
UACGAAGGGGGCUAGCGUUGCUCGGAAUCACUGGGCGUAAAGGGUGCGUAGGCGGGUCUUUAAGUCAGGGGUGAAAUCCUGGAGCUCAACUCCAGAACUGCCUUUGAUACUGAAGAUCUUGAGUUCGGGAGAGGUGAGUGGAAACUGCGAGUGUAGAGGUGAAAUUCGUAGAUAUUCGCAAGAACACCAGUGGCGAAGGCGGCUCACUGGCCGAUACUGACGCUGAGGCACGAAAGCGUGGGAAGGCAAACAGGGAUUAAGAAAAC